AUUUCAUAUUUGUAAUAGACUGUGUCGUAACGUUGCACCGUGUGCAGUAAAAUUCCAAUUUGCAAGUGCAAUUAUAUUAGGAAACAAAUUGAACUAAAGGAAUUCAGAAUAUUUCAACCGCCUCAUAGAUAAACAUUAAUUUCUGUGAAUUUCUAGUGCUAACUAAUAUUAUAGACAAUAAUUGGUGAUCAUGAUAAUCAUAAUCUCAGCGAUGAUGUAAUCAGUAAAGAUAAUUAUGACACGGUAAAAUAUUUGCCAAAGUCCACCAGUAAAAUCGAAACAUUAAUGAAUUAUCGUAGAUUCAUGGAUCAUUCCACCAUUGGACUUCUCCACGGCCAAAGAUAAUAAAUAUUAAAUUAUUAAUAAAGUAGAUGGCAGCUGUCAAGUAGAAAACGAUGUGCCACUGACUGACGUUGUUCUGAAAAGGGAGGUCAAAGGGCUUACCUCAUCUGUGAUGAUCACACCUGCGAUGAGAGGAGAAACAAUGGCGACCACGGCAGCCACACAGUUCGUUAUGGCUAUCAUACUGCCGGCAUUAUUUGGAC